UACGGAGGAUCCGAGCGUUAUCCGGAUUUAUUGGGUUUAAAGGGUGCGUAGGCGGCCUAUUAAGUCAGGGGUGAAAGACGGUAGCUUAACUAUCGCAGUGCCUUUGAUACUGAUUGGCUUGAAUGUACUUGAGGUAGGCGGAAUGUGACAAGUAGCGGUGAAAUGCAUAGAUAUGUCACAGAACACCAAUUGCGAAGGCAGCUUACUAAAGUAUGAUUGACGCUGAGGCACGAAAGCGUGGGGAUCAAACAGG
rnacentral:rRNA from 1 species